GAGGCCGGCCGCCGGCAAAGACAUAUUUUUUGUUUUUUUAAUGUGUAUACUUAGCAAAGACUUUUCUCAGUUUAUUUGUGUUAUUUUGACUUGUAAUUUCUAUCCCAUGUUUAGAUACCUAUAACAUGACACCAUGCCAAAACUUACUAAUUUUUGGUAAAGUUUAAGUAUUAUUUCACUUUUGUCUAAUGAACGUCUGCAAUAAAUGAUAAGUAAUUAUUUUUACAUACAAGGUGUUAAUUUUGUUAAUUUUAAUUGACAUUCGUCAUCCCUAAUGCCAAGUGAAACCAUAGUAAAAAAAUCAAAUCAAAAAGGGAAAAUCUUAUUGCAAAAUUUGGUUUGG
rnacentral:lncRNA from 1 species